rnacentral:rRNA from 1 species
CCUACGGGUGGCAGCAGUGAGGAAUAUUGGUCAAUGGACGAGAGUCUGAACCAGCCAAGCCGCGUGAAGGAUGACUGCCCUGUGGGUUGUAAACUUCUUUUAUAAAGGAAUAAAACGAGGCACGCGUGCCUUUUUGCAUGUACUUUAUGAAUAAGCAUCGGCUAACUCCGUGCCAGCAGCCGCGGUAAUACGGAGGAUCCGAGCGUUAUCCGGAUUUAUUGGGUUUAAAGGGAGCGUAGACGGGUUGUUAAGUCAGUUGUGAAAGUGCGGGGCUCAACCGUAAAAUUGCAAUUGAUACUGGCAGUCUUGAGUAGAGGUGAGGUAUGCGGAAUUCGUGGUGUAGCGGUGAAAUGCAUAGAUAUCGCGAAGAACCCCGAUUGCGAAGGCAGCUUACUGAACUGUGACUGAUAUUGAGGCUCGAAAGUGUGGGUAUCAAACAGGAUUAGAUACCCUAGUAGUC